rnacentral:rRNA from 1 species
CAAGUCGAGCGGGGGAAGGUAGCCUGCUACUGGACCUAGCGGCGGACGGGUGAGUAAUACUUAGGAAUCUGCCUAUUAGUGGGGGACAACGUUCCGAAAGGAGCGCUAAUACCGCAUACGCCCUACGGGGGAAAGCAGGGGAUCUUCGGACCUUGCGCUAAUAGAUGAGCCUAAGUCGGAUUAGCUAGUUGGUGGGGUAAAGGCCUACCAAGGCGACGAUCUGUAGCGGGUUUGAGAGGAUGAUCCGCCACACUGGGACUGAGACACGGCCCAGACUCCUACGGGAGGCAGCAGUGGGGAAUAUUGGACAAUGGGCGCAAGCCUGAUCCAGCCAUGCCGCGUGUGUGAAGAAGGCCUUAUGGUUGUAAAGCACUUUAAGCGAGGAGGAGGCUUACCUAGCUAAUACCUAGGAUAAGUGGACGUUACUCGCAGAAUAAGCACCGGCUAACUCUGUGCCAGCAGCCGCGGUAAUACAGAGGGUGCAAGCGUUAAUCGGAAUUACUGGGCGUAAAGCGCGCGUAGGUGGCCAUUUAAGUCAAAUGUGAAAUCCCCGAGCUUAACUUGGGAAUUGCAUUCGAUACUGGAUGGCUAGAGUAUAGGAGAGGAAGGU